rnacentral:lncRNA from 1 species
CAGCGUCGGUUGCCCGGGCGAUGCGCGGCACGCGUGCGGAGGCCCACACACCCUGAAGGCGGAGCCCCGGGUCGAGUGGCUGGCUCCCGGACCACCCAGCAGUCUGGAAGGAGGUGGCCUCGAGCUUAGCAAGGGUGAGCCAUCGAUGCAGUUGCACUCAGGGUCUCGUAGGGCUUGGUUCGAAGCUCUGCUGUCACAUUCCUGAAGUUUGUAAGAUCGUCUCCCUAAGUAGCCCCAGGAUGAUCUAAAGUUCGCAUUUCUUCUUGGCGCCUCCCCCAUGCGCCAUCACACCGGGUUAAAUUCCGAAUUUUAUAACAUGACACUACAUGCUUAUUUCGUACUGUAGCCCCUGUGUAGCUGGUACUGCCCUAGGAGACCGUAUACAUACUGAUAGCCUAAUGAUUGAAGGAGAAAUUCGGGAAAGGGAUCGCGUAUCCAGGAGGUAGAGCCUGUCUGCCAGGCAGUGGGGACCUCAAGAUCUGGAAUGUGGGUGGAUGCCCAGUGUGUACAGGAGGCUCCAGGAGGGAGUCAGAACACUGGAAGACAGGAACAGAAGGAUCAGAAAUUCAAGUCCAGCUUUGGAUAGAUGGCGCCAAGGCUAGCCUGGGCUACAUGAGAUCCUGUGUAAACUGCCCUCCCCCCCAAAAAAAUAAAUGAAAUAAAACGAGUCAGCAGCAGAAUCAGGCAGAAUUUGAAGCGGCCACAUCAAAUCUACAGUCAAGAGCAGAGAAAAGUGUGUACACAUUUGCUUGGGUAACUGUGGGGAGUUGCAGGCUGGUAUCCAGUCAAGCUGAGGUCUGAACCCCAACAGUUGUAAUUCACCUUCAUGACACGGCUCUCUGAGACCAGACUCCCGACCGACUGGCUCCUCCCACCUCCACACCUCCAGCCUGGUAUCAAGGCUGCUUUACAAUCAUCCUAUUCAGAGACACACAAUAAACAUUUGUAUGGUAAAGGAAACUGAUGCUGACUUCUGCAGAAAGAUUUACAAAUGUAUUCUAACCCAGCGGGGUUCUCAGUUACCUUAAGCAUUGCACCCUAAAUUAUGUGUGUCUCUUAAGUAACCAUCAUUACCCCACCUCCACCCUGCAACUGUGUAGUGCCUUAGGGCAUCAGGCUAUCUCCCCAGUCUCCUCUGGAGUCUUCCUUUGUGUCUGUUUUCUUUCUCUCUGGAAAGCCUUUUCCCUCUCCCCUCAUUUCCUGCCUGACACCAUCUGGUUGUUCUGGUCUCCAUUUAGAAGCCACGCCCUCUGAGAAGUCUUUCCCUGACAGCUGCCUGCAGCCCUGAGGCGGAAGACCUGCAGACCCUGUGUUUCUUGUAAUCACUACCUGCUCCAGUUGACUUUCUAAUGUACUGCAUGUGAGUUCGGAGCGGCCAGCUGUUUAGCAAAGGAGCCACUUCUCGGUGUUACCUCCCUUUGAAAUGUUGGAUUACCCAUGACGACUAUACAGAGCUCAGAACACUUCAGCCAUUGGGAAGUUCUAGGCUGGGGAUGCAGGGAUGCAGUUCACUCUGUAGGGGGCUUGCCGAGCAGGUGCAAAACGUGGGGUUCAAUCCCUAGCCCCUCAUAACCCAGGCGUGGUGACACACACCUGCAAUCCCAGCCCUUGGGAGGUGGAGACUCCAGGAUCAGGGGGUUCAAAUUCAACCUCAAGUAUCUAUGGAGUUGGAGGCCAGCCUGAGUUACAAGAGGACCUGUACAGCUAUAACGGAGUCAAUGAGGUGGCUCAGCAAGUAAAGGCUCUGGAGGCCCCUGCUGCGUAGGCAUGGGGCUAUAAAUUCAAUCCUUAGAACCCACAAAAAGGCGGAGGGAGGGAGACAAGAGACUGCAUAAAGCUGUCCUCUGAACGCCACGUGUGUUUAUUUUAAAUAAUUAAAAUAAUUUAAAAUAAAUAAGGCUGGGCGCAGCGGCAGCACACAGGCUUUUAACCUCAGUACUCCGGGAGGCUGAUGUAUCCUGUAGGUGAAGCCACAGCUAUUUAUUGUCUGUAUCUGAUCUGUCUAAUGAGUUCCAGGCCAGCCAGAGUUACAUAGUAAGUCUCUGUCUAAUAAGUAAAUGAAAGAUGCCUGGGAAGAUGGGGGGGAAGGGUUAAGGGGGGAGGAAAGGUGACAGAAGGGGGGGGGGGAAACACCUUUAAUCACAACAUUUGGGAGGCAGAGGCAGAUGGAUCUUUGUGAGUUUAAGGCCAGCCUGGUCUGUAGAAUGAGUUCCAGGACAGCCAGGACUACACAGAGAAACUGUCUUGAAACAACUAACUAACUAACUAACUAACUAACAGGCAUGGUGACCUAUACCUUUAAUCCAGGCACUCCUGAGGCAGGAGCUGGUAGGUGAGCUACAAGCCAGGCUGGUCAACAUAUUGAAUUCCAGUCAAGGCUACAUAGUGAGGCCCUAUCUCAAAUAAACCUUAGGUAUAUUAAGGACCCUAUCUGCUUAUAACAAAUUAGCAAACACAAGGCUCAGGGCUGCUACAAACCUUGCUUUAAAUAACCUCAUACAAAACCAGGCUCUCUCCCCACCUGUUUGGCCACAUGCAAAGAAACUGCAGUUCCUUCCUUUGCUAUCCUGUA